UUCGACACGAGGCCGACGUCAUCUUUCCUAUCCCAGAUUCACAGUUAUCCUCGAAACGAUCAACCGAUCUCCUCCACUUCCGGGAUCCUCCUCCCUUCCUUCGAAAGGAAUUUUCCACUCCACUUCAACAUUCGAAAAAACGAGCUCGUCCAGCUGCACGCUUUUAAAAUUUUCAUCGAGCCAAGAAAUUUUCCAACGAUUCCGAUCCGCGACGCUGGUCGUCCUUAAGCGCAUACCCGUAAUCGCAUGCAAAGUAGGAGGAAGAAGUUUUUACUUUAUGUAACGAAUUCAUGUUAAGACGCGCCUAUAUAAUAACACGUAUAUCCACUCAUCCGAUUAACGAUCGGAAAAUUUCCAUUAUCUCGUUAUCGAAUGCGCGCGCAUCGAUGAAGAAAAAAAAAAAGAAAGAAAGAAAAAAGAAGAAUCCUUCGACCUAUCACCUCGCGACGAUCGAGCUUGUCCUCGCCUCCUCCUCGAUCGAGGCGACGAUCGUUAUCGCUCUCGCGUGGGCGUUCCGCGCGAACCCAUACGUUACGGGUAUACCGUUUCGCGGUUUAUAACGUCUCAAUAAUUGUCCGUGGACACGAAGAGAAGUUUUAAUUGAAAACUUAACCCGAUCUUCCUCGAAACGUAUGGACGUAAGAGGACCGAUAAGGGGGGAUUUGGAUUAUUUCUAUCUCGAUUUAUCCAUCGAGAAUUUGAAAUGGAAGGAGUAUAAGUUUCUACGCGAGCUUGGAGCACUAGCGAUUGGAGAGAAUCUCAAGUGUGACCCGAGAGCGGAGUGUGGGAGUCGAUGGCAUUGGGCGGAAGAGCAGGAGGAUAAGAAGACACGUGUGUGCGAUCUACGCGCGUGGAUUUGCGCUACGCUGACCGAGCUGGUUGGCGGAGGAUCAGACGGUUGGGAGAAUGUAUAUAUCGUGCAUUUACGUAUCGUGGAACGAAAAAGCAAUUGGAUAUACGUUAUUAAUGAUUCGUGAAUUAAAAUUAAUAAUAAUAAACGUUGGUACGUUUUUGGUCAAUGAUAGAAGCUCUCGCGAAAAAUCGAAAUGCCUGUCUUAACUUCCGAAUGCCUGUCUUCUGAAUUUGGAUCAAUUUAAUUUCUCCCCCACCCUUUUUUUUUUAAAAGAAAAGUUUAAUCCCGAGUGUAUAUUAAGCAACGCGUCUAAUUUCGAAUCGUUGACGUGACGACACGUGUGAACGACGUGGAGCGGCGUGUCGGUGAAAAUGUGAGGCGCGUUUGGUGAAUCGGAUUCUAGUAGUAAGAAAGGAGAGGAGCUCCUUCCAUUCAGAGGGAGCAUCGGUUGCUUGACGACGACAUGGACGGUAGCGGAAUAGGAUAAGCUUCAGGGCUACGGUGAACAGAUCAGAUAAAUGGCCGGCUCGAUCGUACUUCGAUGGAAUAUAAAUCUUCGGAAGACGGUAGCCUUGUCGAUAUGAAGCGUUUCAAGGAAUUCGCGCUACCGGCCGAUGGAAUGGAAAUUAGCAGCCGACUCGCUUUUGCGUCGAUCCUCUGAUAAUCACUUCGUUACAGAAAAAUGAAACGAGAUCUCGAUCCAUGUAUAUAUAUAUAUAUAUAUAUACAAGACGUUGUUACGUAAGGCAAGAGAGCGUUUCGUCAAACGGAGGAGGAGCAUAAUUUCACUUCUCUCGUUUCGAUUCUUUUUCGCGAGACGAAGGGAAGGAUCAAAGGGGAAACGAUCGUGGGUAGAGGAGCACACGAUACAUGGGCGCGUGCACCGUAGUACCUGACACACGAUCGCGGCCCUCUUCCACAUUUAUCAACGGGUGAAAUGUCAGCGGAUCCCAUGAAUCGAGCCGGCGAACGAAGAUCAUCCCAUUCACAUGAGGGGAUCGAGCGACAUCCUUGCCUCGCGGAAAUGUCAAUGUGUACGAAUAAAUCCAAUCUAAAUUA